UUUUUAGAAUGGGAAUGCUGUAGGGACACCAGAGCAGAAAUGGAAAUUAGAAGAGGAAACCAGAUCACAGAGGUGCAAAAAGAGAACUAUGAAUGUGUUAUAAACCCAGAACAACAGAAGUUUUUGGUCAUACCCAAAGAAAGCAUUUCAAUGGAUGUCUCUCAGUAAAAAAGGAGUGGCCAUCUUGACUUCAGAAAUAUCAUGCUGAUUUCCUACCCUUGAAAAAAUCAGAAUGCUUAAAUCUGACAGCAACGAAUUGUUUGUAAAGAUGCAAUUAAGGUUCAAAGCCAGCUGUAGCCAAAAUAUUGCAGUGUAUAUGUUUAUAGGAAUUUUCUGCAUGAUUUUAUCAGUUGAGCCUGUAGUAUUUCCAGUUUUAUUGUUACCUGAGAAAUCUAUUUCCAGUAUAGUUUGCUCAUGACAGUGCUCACCCAUUGUAAGCACAUAAGA